rnacentral:rRNA from 1 species
GACGGAGGGUGCAAGCGUUGCUCGGAAUCACUGGGCGUAAAGGGUGCGUAGGCGGUCUCGCAAGUCUGGCGUGAAAGCCCAAGGCUCAGCCUUGGAAGUGCGCUCGAAACGGCGAGGCUGGAGUGCCGGAGGGGAGAGUGGAAUUCCCGGUGUAGCGGUGAAAUGCGCAGAUAUCGGGAGGAACACCAAUGGCGAAGGCAGCUCGCUGGGACGUGACUGACGCUGAGACGCGAAAGCGUGGGGAGCAAACAGG